rnacentral:rRNA from 1 species
GAUGAACGCUAGCUACCGGUUUAACACAUGCAAGUCGAGGGGCAUCAGGAAGAAAGCUUGCUUUCUUUGCUGGCGACCGGCGCACGGGUGAGUAACACGUAUCCAACCUGCCCUUUACUCGGGGAUAGCCUUUCGAAAGAAAGAUUAAUACCCGAUGGCAUAAUGAUUCCGCAUGGUUUCAUUAUUAAAGGAUUCCGGUAAAGGAUGGGGAUGCGUUCCAUUAGGUUGUUGGUGAGGUAACGGCUCACCAAGCCUUCGAUGGAUAGGGGUUCUGAGAGGAAGGUCCCCCACAUUGGAACUGAGACACGGUCCAAACUCCUACGGGAGGCAGCAGUGAGGAAUAUUGGUCAAUGGGCGCUAGCCUGAACCAGCCAAGUAGCGUGAAGGAUGAAGGCUCUAUGGGUCGUAAACUUCUUUUAUAUAAGAAUAAAGUGCAGUAUGUAUACUGUUUUGUAUGUAUUAUAUGAAUAAGGAUCGGCUAACUCCGUGCCAGUAGCCGCGGUAAUACGGAGGAUCCGAGCGUUAUCCGGAUUUAUUGGGUUUAAAGGGAGCGUAGGUGGACUGGUAAGUCAGUUGUGAAAGUUUGCGGCUCAACCGUAAAAUUGCAGUUGAUACUGUCAGUCUUGAGUACAGUAGAGGUGGGCGGAAUUCGUGGUGUAGCGGUGAAAUGCUUAGAUAUCACGAAGAACUCCGAUUGCGAAGGCAGCUCACUGGACUGCAACUGACACUGAUGCUCGAAAGUGUGGGUAUCAAACAGG